GGCCAGCAGCCGCGGUAAUACGUAGGUGGCAAGCGUUGUCCGGAAUUACUGGGUGUAAAGGGAGUGUAGGCGGGGCUUCAAGUCCGUUGUGAAACCGAUCGGCUCAACUGAUCGUUGCGGCGGAAACUGGAGUUCUUGAGUGAGGUAGAGGCAGGCGGAAUUCCCAGUGUAGCGGUGAAAUGCGUAGAUAUUGGGAGGAACACCAGUGGCGAAGGCGGCCUGCUGGGCCUUAACUGACGCUGAGGCUCGAAAGUGUGGGGAGCAAACAGGAUUAGAUACCCUGGUAGUCCACACUGUAAACGAUGAUUACUAGGUGUGGGGGGACUGACCCCUUCCGUGCCGGAGUGAACACAAUAAGUAAUCCACCUGGGGAGUACGACCGCAAGGUUGAAACUCAAAGGAAUUGACGGGGGCCCGCACAAGG
rnacentral:rRNA from 1 species